CAGCCGCCGCGGGAAUACGGAGGGAGCUAGCGUUGUUCGGAAUUACUGGGCGUAAAGCGCGCGUAGGCGGUUACUCAAGUCAGAGGUGAAAGCCCGGGGCUCAACCCCGGAACUGCCUUUGAAACUAGGUGACUAGAAUCUUGGAGAGGUCAGUGGAAUUCCGAGUGUAGAGGUGAAAUUCGUAGAUAUUCGGAAGAACACCAGUGGCGAAGGCGACUGACUGGACAAGUAUUGACGCUGAGGUGCGAAAGCGUGGGGAGCAAACAGGAUUAGAUACCCGCGUAGUCCCUGUCUCUUAUAA
rnacentral:rRNA from 1 species